rnacentral:miRNA from 1 species
UGUCCUGUAUGUCAUUUUCAGUCUUCAAUUCCUCCCAGCCCGUGUUAUGGAAUUACUGAGUUGAGGCGAGUUGAAGACUAAAAAUGCUGUACAGAUUCA